rnacentral:rRNA from 1 species
GACGAACGCUGGCGGCGUGCUUAACACAUGCAAGUCGAACGGAAAGGCCCUGCUUUUGUGGGGUGCUCGAGUGGCGAACGGGUGAGUAACACGUGAGUAACCUGCCCUUGACUUUGGGAUAACUUCAGGAAACUGGGGCUAAUACCGGAUAGGAGCUCCUGCUGCAUGGUGGGGGUUGGAAAGUUUCGGCGGUUGGGGAUGGACUCGCGGCUUAUCAGCUUGUUGGUGGGGUAGUGGCUUACCAAGGCUUUGACGGGUAGCCGGCCUAGAGGGUGACCGGCCACAUUGGGACUGAGAUACGGCUCAGACUCCUACGGGAGGCAGCAGUGGGGAAUAUUGCACAAUGGGCGGAAGCCUGAUGCAGCAACGCCGCGUGCGGGAUGACGGCCUUCGGGUUGUAAACCGCUUUCGCCUGUGACGAAGCGUGAGUGACGGUAAUGGGUAAAGAAGCACCGGCUAACUACGUG